rnacentral:lncRNA from 1 species
UGAGACUCCCUGGGGUGAAGGGAAAUGCCACAGACAUCCAUGGUCUUGGAUGCUCAACAGAAGUGCUUGCCUUGGUGAUCCAAAAAAGGCAGGAUCCGGCCGGGGGCAAGGUGAUUAUUCUGUCUGAUGAGGAGAAUAAGAGCCAGUUUGUGGUAUUGACAGAAGAAUGAAAGUAAAGUCUUGAAAGAUGGGAAGAUCAGGAGCAGUCUGGAGUCAUGGUAUAUGAAUGAACUAGUGAGAGUGGGCACAAAGUCUGAAGAUCUUUGUAGUGCAGCUAAUGUCUAAGGGAGAAUAUACCUACCCUAGAAGAGACAUUAAACAACCAGGUAA